AGUUGAGCACACAGAUUAAUGAGCCAAUACUGAGCCUCCUCCCUUCUGACCUCUCAGCACCUGCUCAACUAAGCUCAGGGGAAACUCUUGAGUCUUCUUCUUAAAUUGGUAACGCUUGCCCUUUCUUUCUCAAACAAAUCAACGCCCAACACCACCACCAAAUUAUAGGCAACCAACGCGUAUCCAACAGCAUAAAAUAGUUCCCAAGAGCAUAAAAUAGUUCCCAACAGCGCCAGCGCAGGGGGCAAAACAGAGCGACCAAAUGGGGGCACCCUCAGGGGAGUUGCGCUCAUCUGGAGCGAGACGCCAGCCUGGGAAAGCGGAACCCCUUUCCCGCCCCGCCCCGAGGACUCACGCUCAGGUGCAACGCCGAGACUCCCGGGGGAAAGAGAGGUGACCGUCUCGGCGCGACCGCCCACACCUCUUGCUCCAAAUGACCCCAGCACACAGGAGAGGUCCUCUCAGCGUGGGACUCCGUCUCUCCCGAAGGCAGGGAGCACAACGAAGCGGCCACUCGUCUCUGCAGCCGCGCUACCGGCCCGCAGCCUGGCUCGCAGGUGAGGCGUGAACAGGUGAGAUGUGACUUUUGCCUUCCACCACGACUGUGCCCGGUCUUGGGUAUGUCUUUAUCAGCAGCAGGACAAUGGACUCCUACAGUAAAUUGGUACCAGUAGAGUGGGCGCUGCUGAAAAGAUACCCAAAAAUGUGAAAGUGACUUUGGAACUGGGUAACACGCAGAGGUUGGAACAGUUUGGAGGGCUCAGAAUAAGACAGAAAAAUGUGGGAAAGUUUGGAACUUCCUAGAGACUUGUUGAAUGGCUUUGUGCAAAAUGCUGAUAAUGACAUGGACAAUGAAAUCCAGGUUAAUAUGGUCUCUGAUGGAGAUGAAGAACUUGUUGGGAACUGGAGCAAAGGUGACUCUUGUUUUAGCAAAGAGACUGGUGGCAUUUUGCCCCUGCUCUAGAGAUUUUUGGAACUUUGAACUUAAGAGAGAUGAUUUAGGUAUCUGGCAGAAGAAAUUUCUAAGCAGCAAAGCACUCAAGAGGUGACUUGAGUGCUGUUAAAGGCAUACAGUUUUAAAAGGGAAACAGUAUAAAAGUUCAGAAAAUUUGCAGCCUGACAAUGUGAUAGAAAGGAAAAUCCCAUUUUCUGAGGAGAAAUUCAAGCUGGCUGCAGAAAUUUGCAUAUGUAAUGAGGAGCUGAAUGUUAAUCCCCAAGACAAUGGGAAAAAUGUCUCCAGGGCAUGUUAGAGGUUUUCACGGCAGCUCCUUCCAUCACAGGCCUGGAAGCCUAAAAGGUAAAAGUGGUUUCUUGGGCCAGGCCCAGGGUCCCUCUGCUGUGUGCAGUCUAGGGACUUGAUGCCCUGCAUCCCAGCUGCUCCAGCUGUGACUAAAAGGAGCCAAGGUACAGCUCAGUCCAUGGCUUCAGAGGAUGCAAGCCCCAAGCCUUGGCAGCUUCCAUGUGGUGUUGAGCGUGCCAGUGCACAGAAGUCAAGAAUUGGGGUUUGGGAACCUCCGCCUAGGUUUCAGAGGAUGUAUGGAAAUGCCUAGAUGUCCAGGCAGAAGUUUCCUGCAGGGGCGGGGCCCUCAUGGAGAACCUCUGCUAGGGCAGUGUGGAAGGGAAAUGUGGGAUCAGAGCCCCCACACAGAAUCCCUGCUGGGACACUGCCUAGUGGAGAUGUGAGAAGAGGGCCACCAUCCUCCAGACCCCAGAAUAGUAGAUCCACUGAUAUCUUGCACCAUGCACCUGGAAAACCUGCAGAAGUCAAUGCCAGCCUGUGAAAGCAGCCAGUAGGGAGGCUGUACCAUGCAAAGCCACAGGGGUGGAGCUGCCCAAGACCAUGGAAAUCCAUCUUGCAUCAGCAUGACUUGGAUGUGAGACAUGGAGUCAAGGGAGAUCAUUCUCGAGUUUUAAGAUUUGACUGCCCUGCUGGAUUUUAGACUUACAUGGAACUUGUAGCCCCUUUGUUUUGGCCAAUUUCUUCCAUUUGGAAUAGGCGUAUUUACCCAAUACCUGUACCCCCAUUGUAUCUAAGAAGUAACUAACUUGCUUUUGAUUUUACAGGCUCAUAGGUGGAAGGGACUUACCUUGUCUUAGGUGAGACUUGCCUUUCUCCUUCUGCCAUGAUUGUGAGGCUUCUUCAGCCACGUGGAACUGUGAGUCAUUAAAUCUCUUUCUUUUGUAAAUCACCCAGUCUUGGGUAUGUCUUUAUCAGCAGCAUAAAAUGGACUAAUAUUUAAUAUAAUUACUAAUAUAUUUAUGUAUAUUCACAUUGUU
rnacentral:lncRNA from 10 species